AUGGUAACUAGGACUCUCCACCCCGUCUCCCUGUUAUUCUCUUCUCCUCCCUGGUCUCUUUUGCCAAGAAAUCUUCUACAUCUCCACCUCUGCCGAUGGAGUCCUGGUUCCAGGCCAUCUGCCAAUUUGCAGGAGCUCCAGCCUCUUCUGAGUUACCGUUUUCUGAUCAAAUCAGGUACAAGGAUGCCCAGUUUUAACCUAGUUUCUUCCUCCUCAGGCCUUGUAUUUCACUGGUGAAAAUUU
rnacentral:lncRNA from 12 species